UACUGUUGCCAAGCAAUUCGUAGCAGACCAACUGCAACGGCUGAGUCAGCGCUUUUAAUUGUUGCCAAAAGUGGAAAAGUUUUGCAAGUGAAAAGUAGGCAAUGAAAUAGUCAUUUGGAAAAUUUACAAUCAGCCAAACGAAAUUAACUAAUAAAUUCCCUCCCCAUAAACAAAAAAAAAACAGAGCUAGAUAUGGAAAAACCUAACACAUCUACUCUUAAGGUAUAAUUACAAACAGUUUUCAGACCUUUUGCAUCGCUUAUUCUCGAUCUUUCAUCGGCUGGAAGAAAGAGAACUUCGCGCGGCUGGCGAAUUGUAGUUUAUUGACAAGAACCUGAACGUGUUUGGGCCGUCGCGACGUUGAGUACGUGUAUCUGCUAGAUACAGAUACAUGCGAGUACGCAGCUCAUUAUUUCAGACCCGACAAUAACAGCUUUAGCUGCAACAACACCGAUGGCAGCAAAUGUGGCAGCGUCUGCUGUCAGUUGCAACUUCAAUUGAAACGCAUUUAAUUAGUUUGUGCCUAAUUUAUGCUGCCAUCGACAACAACAUCGCCAUCGACAUCAACGUUCAACAUCAACAUCAACGUUCAGCAUCAGCUUGCAACAACGAAGCUGUCAUCUGGCACUGUGCUACUUCAGAUACUCUAACAAAGAGUAUGCACCACUUGACACAAAGAUGGCAAUGUGUU